GGAGGUGAGGCUUGGAGGGAAGCACGUCCAACCCUUGUAUCGGGUAGGCGAACCAGUGAACACGUCCAUACGGUUGCCAGGGUGACUGAGGAAGCUAAUGACUAUAUCAGCACAGUGGGCAAGCAUUGUUGAGAGCCUGGGUUCAACUCUGGGCAGGCACCAAUGGAUUAAGCCGUCGCCCAACACGGCAGCCAUCCGUGAAUUAAUGUUUGGCAACAUUGGUGGUCUCAGAACCUCGCACUAAUGACUGCACUAAAAGCCCAUCUUCAUACGUUAGAUUUGAACCGGGGUACUCGUCGAUGUGAACUAAACUAUUGCUGCACUGGAGUGAAUGUGGUGUUGUUGGCUUGUAUUAAAUGGAUUGCCUCGUGCAGUCAUCACAAAAGACGUGCUUCAAUGUAACAACCUACCCCAUCAUGUUCCAGAUGCUGAACAAGGUAAAAAUGAGAAGCCAGUUUCCAAGAAAGCCAAAAUUCGGGCAAAAGACACACCCCCUCCCCUGAAUAGAGACCCCAUUGGAGUGGAAUUCAUGCUGCCGGGCUUCUAUUGCAAACUGUGCUGGAGUUUCUUCGCAAAGGAAGAGUUCGUCAGGAAGCACUGCCACAAACACGAGCACCAACAAAACCUGCAG